ensembl:miRNA
CGCCUGAUCCUGCAACAGGGCAUCCUCCUGACCUGGUAGUACUUAGGUGGGAAGGAUGGUUGGGGGCGGUUGGCCUAACUCAGGGA